AGUCGAACGGUAGCAUGGUCUAGCUUGCUAGACUGAUGACGAGUGGCGAACGGGUGAGUAACGCGUAGGAAUAUGCCUUGAAGUGGGGGACAACUUGGGGAAACUCAAGCUAAUACCGCAUAAUCUCUUCGGAGAAAAGCUAGGGACCUUCGGGCCUGGCGCUUCAAGAUUAGCCUGCGUACGAUUAGCUAGUUGGUAGGGUAAAGGCCUACCAAGGCGACGAUCGUUAGCUGGUCUGAGAGGAUGGCCAGCCACACUGGAACUGAGACACGGUCCAGACUCCUACGGGAGGCAGCAGUGGGGAAUAUUGGACAAUGGGGGCAACCCUGAUCCAGCAAUGCCGCGUGUGUGAAGAAGGCCUGAGGGUUGUAAAGCACUUUCAGUGGGGAGGAGGAAUGCUAGGUUAAGAGCUAGGUAUUUGGACGUUACCCACAGAAGAAGCACCGGCUAACUCCGUGCCAGCAGCCGCGGUAAUACGGAGGGUGCGAGCGUUAAUCGGAAUUACUGGGCGUAAAGGGUGCGUAGGUGGUUUAUUAAGUUAUCUGUGAAAUCCCUGGGCUCAACCUGGGCAGGUCAGAUAAGACUGGUAAACUCGAGUAUGGGAGAGGGUGGUGGAAUUUCCGGUGUAGCGGUGAAAUGCGUAGAGAUCGGAAGGAACACCAGUGGCGAAGGCGGCUACCUGGCCCAAUACUGACACUGA
rnacentral:rRNA from 1 species